GCAAUACAUGGGCGGCGACCGGCAAACGGGUGCGGAACACGUACGCAACCUUCCUUCAAGUGGGGGAUAGCCCAGAGAAAUUUGGAUUAAUACCCCGUAAGAUGGUGGUGUGGCAUCACACAGCCAUUAAAGCUGAGGCGCUUGAAGAUGGGCGUGCGUCUGAUUAGGUAGUUGGUGAGGUAACGGCUCACCAAGCCGACGAUCAGUAACUGGCGUGAGAGCGCGACCAGUCACACGGGCACUGAGACACGGGCCCGACUCCUACGGGAGGCAGCAGUAAGGAAUAUUGGUCAAUGGACGCAAGUCUGAACCAGCCAUGCCGCGUGAAGGAUGAAGGUCCUCUGGAUUGUAAACUUCUUUUAUGUGGGAAGAAACCACCUUUUUCUAAGGGUGUUGACGGUACCAUAGGAAUAAGCACCGGCUAACUCCGUGCCAGCAGCCGCGGUAAUACGGAGGGUGCAAGCGUUAUCCGGAUUCACUGGGUUUAAAGGGUGCGUAGGCGGAAUUGUAAGUCCGUGGUGAAAUCUCCGAGCUUAACUCGGAAACUGCCGUGGAUACUAUAGUUCUUGAAUGUUGUGGAGGUUUGCGGAAUAUGUCAUGUAGCGGUGAAAUGCUUAGAUAUGACAUAGAACACCGAUUGCGAAGGCAGCAGGCUACACAAAUAUUGACGCUGAGGCACGAAAGCGUGGGGAUCAAACAGGAUUAGAUACCCUGGUAGUCCACGCCCUAAACGAUGAUUACUCGACAUUUGCGAUAUACAGUAAGUGUCUG
rnacentral:rRNA from 1 species